CAUGCAAGUCGAGCGAAUGACGAAGAAGCUUGCUUCUUCUGAUUUAGCGGCGGACGGGUGAGUAACACGUGGGCAACCUGCCCUGUAGAUUGGGAUAACUCCGGGAAACCGGGGCUAAUACCGAAUAAUCCAUUUCCUCACAUGAGGAAAUGUUAAAAGACGGUCUCGGCUGUCACUACAGGAUGGGCCCGCGGCGCAUUAGCUAGUUGGUGAGGUAACGGCUCACCAAGGCGACGAUGCGUAGCCGACCUGAGAGGGUGAUCGGCCACACUGGGACUGAGACACGGCCCAGACUCCUACGGGAGGCAGCAGUAGGGAAUCUUCCACAAUGGACGAAAGUCUGAUGGAGCAAUGCCGCGUGAGUGAAGAAGGUUUUCGGAUCGUAAAACUCUGUUGUGAGGGAAGAACAAGUACGAGAGUAACUGCUCGUACCUUGACGGUACCUCAUUAGAAAGCCACGGCUAACUACGUGCCAGCAGCCGCGGUAAUACGUAGGUGGCAAGCGUUGUCCGGAAUUAUUGGGCGUAAAGCGCGCGCAGGCGGUCCUUUAAGUCUGAUGUGAAAUCCCACGGCUCAACCGUGGAAGGUCAUUGGAAACUGGGGGACUUGAGUGCAGAAGAGGAAAGUGGAAUUCCAAGUGUAGCGGUGAAAUGCGUAGAGAUUUGGAGGAACACCAGUGGCGAAGGCGACUUUCUGGUCUGUAACUGACGCUGAGGCGCGAAAGCGUGGCGAGCAAACAGGAUUAGAUACUCUGGUAGUCCACGCCGUAAACGAUGAGUGCUAAGUGUUAGGGGGUUUCCGCCCCUUAGUGCUGCAGCUAACGCAUUAAGCACUCCGCCUGGGGAGUACGGUCGCAAGACUGAAACUCAAAGGAAUUGACGGGGGCUCGCACAAGC
rnacentral:rRNA from 1 species